GAUGAAGAACGCAGCGAAAUGCGAUAAGUAGUGUGAAUUGCAGAAUUCAGUGAAUCAUCGAAUCUUUGAACUCACAUUGCGCCCUAUGGUAUUCCGUAGGGCAUGCCUGUUCGAGCGUCAUUCAAACCUUCAAGCUCUGCUUGGUGUUGGGCGUCUGUCCUGCCUCACGGCGCGGACUCGCCUCAAAUCUAUUGGCGGCCGGCACGUUGGCUUCGAGCGCAGCAGAAACGCGAACUCGAGACCGGCGGAUCGGCUCCCAGAAGCUACCCCCAUGAAUUUGACCUCGGAUCAGGUAGGGAUACCCGCUGAACUUAAGCAUAUCAAUAAGCGGAGGA
rnacentral:misc_RNA from 1 species